AUUGAACGCUGGCGGCAGGCCUAACACAUGCAAGUCGAGCGAGCGGCGGACGGGUGAGUAAUGUCCGGGAAACUGCCUGAUGGAGGGGGAUAACUACUGGAAACGGUAGCUAAUACCCCAUACCAUCAGAUGUGCCCCGAUGGGAUUAGCUAGUAGGUGGGGUAACGGCUCAACUAGGCGACGCUCCCUAGCUGGUCUGUGAGGAUGACCAGCAACACUGGAACUGAGACACGGGCCGGACUCCUACGGGAGGCAGCAGUGGGGAAUAUUGCACAAUGGGCGCAAGCCUGAUGCAGCCAUGCCGCGUGUGUGAAGAAGGCCUUCGGGUUGUAAAGCACUUUCAGCGGGGAGGCGUUACCCGCAGAAGAAGCACCGGCUAACUCCGUGCCAGCCGCCGCGGUAAUAC
rnacentral:rRNA from 1 species